UGGGUCUAAUACCGGAUAGGAGCGUCCACCGCAUGGUGGGUGUUGGAAAGAUUUAUCGGUUUUGGAUGGACUCGCGGCCUAUCAGCUUGUUGGUGAGGUAAUGGCUCACCAAGGCGACGACGGGUAGCCGGCCUGAGAGGGUGACCGGCCACACUGGGACUGAGACACGGCCCAGACUCCUACGGGAGGCAGCAGUGGGGAAUAUUGCACAAUGGGCGCAAGCCUGAUGCAGCGACGCCGCGUGAGGGAUGACGGCCUUCGGGUUGUAAACCUCUUUCAGUAGGGAAGAAGCGAAAGUGACGGUACCUGCAGAAGAAGCACCGGCUAACUACGUGCCAGCAGCCGCGGUAAUACGUAGGGUGCGAGCGUUAUCCGGAAUUAUUGGGCGUAAAGAGCUCGUAGGCGGUUUGUCGCGUCUGUCGUGAAAGUCCGGGGCUUAACCCCGGAUCUGCGGUGGGUACGGGCAGACUAGAGUGCAGUAGGGGAGACUGG
rnacentral:rRNA from 1 species